rnacentral:lncRNA from 1 species
AUAGUGAAGUCUGUGUCUCUUGGGGAAAGAUUUGUUUUCUGUCAUGUCGAUGACAUGGAUGACCCAAGAUGAAUAUCCAAGGACAUAUCAGAGAUAGGUCGGCAGUGGUGCAGGAAAGGAGCAAAGCCUGAUUGAGUUUAUGAAAGUUUUCCACUAAAGUCAGCAACAGCGCAAAUUCAAACCAGGCACAAGGCACUUGAAUCUCCCUAUGAGUUGUUCAUCAAAGGGCUAAAAGAAAGGAAAUCUGAGACGGACCAGGGUCUGGCCUAAAAGCUUUCAAGUGAUUCCUUUCCGUAAGGAAACUAUUUCCUUUGUGCAUGUUCAGGA